rnacentral:rRNA from 1 species
AGACGAAAGGUGCAAGCGUUGUUCGGAUUUACUGGGCGUAAAGAGAGUGUAGGUUGUUUAUUAAGUCGGAUGUGAAAUCCCGGGGCUCAACCUCGGAACUGCAUUCGAUACUGGUAGACUAGAGUUCGGGAGGGGUAAGCGGAAUUCCGUGUGUAGCAGUGAAAUGCGUAGAUAUACGGAGGAACACCUGAGGCGAAGGCGGCUUACUGGACCGAUACUGACACCGAGACUCGAAAGCGUGGGUAGCAAACAGGAUUAGAAACCCUAGUAGUCC